rnacentral:rRNA from 1 species
GCGAGCGGCGGACGGGUGAGUAAUGCAUAGGAAUCUGCCCGGUAGUGGGGGAUAACGUGGGGAAACCCACGCUAAUACCGCAUACGUCCUACGGGAGAAAGCGGAGGCUCUUCGGACUUCGCGCUAUCGGAUGAGCCUAUGUCGGAUUAGCUAGUUGGUAAGGUAACGGCUUACCAAGGCGACGAUCCGUAGCUGGUCUGAGAGGAUGAUCAGCCACACUGGGACUGAGACACGGCCCAGACUCCUACGGGAGGCAGCAGUGGGGAAUAUUGGACAAUGGGCGAAAGCCUGAUCCAGCCAUGCCGCGUGUGUGAAGAAGGCUUUCGGGUUGUAAAGCACUUUCAGCGAGGAAGAAAGCCUUUGGGUUAAUACCCCAGAGGAAGGACAUCACUCGCAGAAGAAGCACCGGCUAACUCCGUGCCAGCAGCCGCGGUAAUACGGAGGGUGCGAGCGUUAAUCGGAAUUACUGGGCGUAAAGCGCGCGUAGGUGGCUUGGCACGCCGGUUGUGAAAGCCCCGGGCUCAACCUGGGAACGGCAUCCGGAACGGCCAGGCUAGAGUGCAGGAGACCAAGGUAGAAUUCCCGGUGUAGCGGUGUUAUGCGUAGAGAUCGGGAGGAGAAAUGC